rnacentral:miRNA from 1 species
GGCGGCAGGAGCGUCCUCGCUGUCCUGUGCCCUCCCGGCCUCCACCUGUCCCGGGGGGGGAGCGCAGGAUCCUGGGCUGUGUCCCCCGGUGCCCUGGG